CACGUGGUGCGUCUGGCGGCACCUUUGGGCAGUGGGUACCCUGCUUCUUCCACCCGGUCCUCGAGAUGCGGACCCCGGCGAGGCCGGACCGACGCCGCUGAGCAGGCUGCAGGGAGGCCCGGAGGCAAUCCGAUCUUUCGCGACGUUUUUGCGACAGCCGUGGCCGUGUUCCGCGAGUCCCCUCCCUCCCUCCUCUGAGGAGGUACCGGCUGUUGUGCGGCGCUGCCUUUCUGUUUGAGUGUAUGGGAGAGAGAGUGAGUGAGUGAGUGUGAGCGUGUGUGUGAGAGAGGGUGAGGCGUGAGUGCGAGUGUAAGAGGAGGAGAGCCCGCCGCGGCCGCCCCGCCGCUCCCCGCAGCGGGAGCAGAACGCGCGGCAGGAGCGAGCAGGAGAGCCGGCGCCCCGGGAGCCCGCGGGGACAAGGGCAGAGACGCCGCUCCCCACCCCCAGCUCUCGUCCCUCUGCUCUCCUUCGCCCGGGGGAACCUCCCUGUCCCCCCACCCUCCCGGCCGGCGUCUGCCCCGCCGUCCCCCUGGAUGUCCCCGGGGCUCUCGCGGGGCCUUCUGCUCUUGCCGCAUCAGUCGGGCUGGUGCUGCGGCCGCCGGGUGUAGAGCGGGCGGGUUCCCGGGGGCUGCGGCUGCCGGUGCUUCCCCGGUCCCCACCCCUGUCCCCCGGCCCCCCGACCCAGCUCCCCGGCCCCGGAGGCUGUGACAAUGGACUAUGACUUUAAAGUGAAGCUGAGCAGCGAGCGGGAGCGGGUCGAGGACCUGUUUGAAUACGAGGGCUGCAAAGUUGGCCGAGGCACUUAUGGUCACGUCUACAAAGCCAAGAGGAAAGAUGGGAAAGAUGAUAAAGACUAUGCUUUAAAACAAAUAGAAGGAACUGGGAUCUCUAUGUCGGCAUGUAGAGAAAUAGCAUUACUUCGAGAGCUUAAGCAUCCAAAUGUCAUCUCUCUUCAAAAGGUAUUUCUGUCUCAUGCUGAUAGGAAAGUAUGGCUUCUGUUUGACUACGCUGAACAUGACCUCUGGCAUAUAAUCAAGUUUCACAGAGCUUCUAAAGCAAACAAGAAGCCAGUUCAGUUACCUCGGGGAAUGGUGAAGUCACUAUUAUAUCAGAUCCUAGAUGGGAUUCACUACCUGCAUGCUAACUGGGUGUUGCACAGGGAUUUGAAACCUGCUAAUAUUUUAGUUAUGGGUGAAGGUCCUGAGCGAGGAAGAGUAAAGAUUGCUGAUAUGGGCUUUGCCCGAUUAUUUAAUUCACCUUUGAAGCCUUUAGCAGAUUUGGAUCCAGUAGUCGUAACAUUCUGGUACCGAGCCCCAGAAUUACUUCUUGGAGCGAGACAUUAUACCAAAGCUAUUGAUAUUUGGGCUAUAGGGUGUAUAUUUGCAGAACUACUAACGUCAGAACCAAUAUUUCACUGUCGACAAGAGGACAUCAAAACUAGUAAUCCUUAUCACCAUGACCAGCUGGACAGAAUAUUCAAUGUAAUGGGAUUUCCUGCAGAUAAAGAUUGGGAAGAUAUAAAAAAGAUGCCUGAACAUUCAACAUUAAUGAAAGAUUUCAGAAGAAAUACGUAUACCAACUGCAGCCUUAUCAAGUAUAUGGAAAAACAUAAAGUUAAACCAGAUAGUAAAGCAUUCCACUUGCUUCAGAAGUUGCUUACGAUGGACCCAAUAAAGCGAAUUACCUCAGAACAGGCUAUGCAGGAUCCCUAUUUCUUAGAAGAUCCACUUCCUACAUCAGACGUUUUUGCCGGUUGUCAAAUCCCUUACCCAAAACGAGAAUUUUUAACAGAAGAAGAACCUGAUGACAAAGGAGACAAAAAGAACCAGCAGCAGCAGCAGGGCAAUAACCAUACUAAUGGAACUGGUCACCCAGGGAAUCAAGACAGCAGUCAUACACAGGGACCCCCGUUGAAAAAAGUGAGAGUUGUUCCUCCUACCACUACCUCAGGUGGACUAAUCAUGACCUCAGACUAUCAGCGUUCCAAUCCACAUGCUGCCUAUCCCAACCCUGGACCAAGCACAUCACAGCCACAGAGCAGCAUGGGAUACUCAACUACCUCCCAGCAGCCUCCACAGUACUCGCAUCAGACACACCGGUACUGAGCUGCGCUGGAAUGUUGUCAAUGCACUGUUGCUAGCGCUGCAGGACUGACGGUGCAGCUCUCUGCGGGAACCUGAAUCUACAAAAAAAUGUGACGUUCCUUCGUGACUCCUGAAUAUCCUCAGUUAAUAUCAAAUUGUACCCAGCUUGAAGCAUUUCCUAUGAUUCAGAAAAGCAUUUUUGUUCGUCCCCAAGGGACGAUUGGAAAUAAAGUGAUAAAAACUUGGGAGUAACACAAUAAAACAUCCCUAGGAGGCAUGAGAAUCUUGCAUUAAGCCAUUGGAAAGAAGAUUUCACGUGUGCUGAGUCGAGCAUCCUGAAAGAGAGAUGAGGAGGCUAGCACUUCAGUGGUUCGCAACUUGCCCAAGACACACGGCUCCCAGGCAGAGUCAGGAUUCCAGUUAGACCCGUCUGCCUCUACAGCUUUCAUCUUACCUCCACAGUGAAUUAGUGAGCCCAUGCUGCUCCAUUAAGUCAAGGGAGGGAGGCGGAAAGGGGAGCAGCGAUCUUGGGACGAAGCUGAUGCAGAGAGAGGCAGAGCCGAGACCACCAGAAGUCAGGGCUGGAUGUCGACCUACCAGCCUCGAAGCCUGGACCCCUCUGGACUUUCAAGUUACAUAAAUAAUAAAUAUCCUUACUCUUUAAGUCAUUUUGAGUUGAUUUUUUGCUAUUUGCAAUGGAAAGUACUCACUGAUACACUGGACAAGCUAGGUCUGGGAUUCUUCACCCACUGCUACUUUUUCUGCUUACUAAUUAUUUACAGAUAUGCUUCUUCUCUGUAGGAACAUAUUCUUUAAUGAAAUUUUAAUUGGUAUUUAUCAUGUACCAGUUGGAGCUCACACUACAUCAAUAAAUUGGCUUUCUGAUUAUUAAAAAUGUGUCCACAUGCCUCUGUUUUGAUCAGUUUUCUUUUUCCAACAUUUAACUUCUGUGUUUAUUUCAUGCCCCUAAGACUUUAUGCAAGUGUCUGGCUCUUCACUGAGAAAGGGGUAACAUUUCUUCCUUGGUGGUGCAUUGCAAGCAUACUCUCUGAUCACAAAGCCCUUUAUCACUCACUUUCAAGCUCAUUUAUUUCUUUGAGAGCUGCACAAUCCCAGCCUUGUGGGAAGAGAGCCUCCCACAUUCGGAGAGCAAUGGCUGGUUUAGAAAUGCUCUGUCUUUGUCCAAGACGAAGUCUCUUCCGCAUCCUUGAUUAUGUCUAAAUGAUGCUCUUAUCCUUAAACAGAGCCCCCUUUCUCAGUCUCCCAGGAAGCACUGAUUUGUUUACCAGCCCCAGGGAUGGGAGGAAGCAGGAGUCUACGGGGCAAUCACACAGCCAGGACCACCGGCCUACUUUGUGCUCAAGGAGCCUCAUUUCAGACACUUCAGCAUCAGCUGUCACAUACUCAGUCCCAGAGAAAGCCGACAAGAGCGGAAGACGUUCAUCCCACAACCUGAGAAGGAAUUAAUACAUUUUGGGAUCGGCACAAUCAUAUCGAAUGCAGUAUAUUGAGUGAUUAAAAAAAAAAAAGAAGAAGAAGAAUUUGCCCUGGACUUGUUCAACCUCAGAGAGGUUCUGCAUGGCCUGGACAUCAAGGUUCCCCAGGUGGAAGGGGGGCCUUGCCUCUCCAAGUGUGGUCCCUGGGCCAGCACAUCUGCAUUACCUGGGACGUGUUCCAAACACAGAAUCUGCCUUUCGGCAAGGUCACCAGGUGAUUUCUAAGCACUCUGAAAGUUCGAGAAGCACAGAUGUUGGGAAGAUAAGGAGAAGAUGAAUCAACAAGCAUAGGGCUCCGGCCUGAUUACAGGACUCUGUCCCCUGUCUGUAUGUCCUGUGUCGGGCACUGUCCUUAGGCCAGCUCUGUUUGAGGGUUCUGCCACCCUUGCUGAGUUUGGGGGUUAAGGAGUGAGCAUCUUCUGACCCAGCACAUCGAGCUCCUCCAGAGGAAGGGGAAGGGACAAGAUCCAGCCACUCCUCAUCCAGUUUACCAAAAAAACUGUACUCAAGGAUCAC